AACAAACGCUGGCGGCGUGCCUAAUACAUGCAAGUCGAACGGGGAAAGCUUUCGGGUGAGUACUAGUGGCGCACGGGUGAGGAACGCGUGGAUAAUCUGCCUUAGAGUGGGGGAUAACUAGUCGAAAGAUUAGCUAAUACCGCAUAAGACCACAGGAGCUGCGGCUCAAGGGGUCAAAGGUUUUUCGCUCUAAGAUGAGUCCGCGUAAGAUUAGCUAGUUGGUGAGGUAACGGCUCACCAAGGCGACGACCUUUAACUGGUCUGAGAGGAUGAUCAGUCACACUGGAACUGAGACACGGUCCAGACUCCUACGGGAGGCAGCAGUAGGGAAUAUUGCACAAUGGAGGAAACUCUGAUGCAGCGGCGCCGCGUGGGCGAUGAAGGCCUUCGGGUCGUAAAGCUCUGUCGCAGGGGAAUAACACAAUGAAUGUACCCUGUAAGAAAGGAUCGGCUAACUUCGUGCCAGCAGCCGCCGUAACAC
rnacentral:rRNA from 1 species